GAUCUCCACGGUUUCCUCUCCACCGUCCCGUCCCCCCGUACCCGUUUCCUCCCGCAGUCUUCUUCUUCCUCUCCCGAGUCCUGACCUACCCUACCCCCCCCCCUGCCCCUCCCAAGCAAGCUCCAAUCCCGGCCCGAUGCGCCUCCGGCGCCCCCGCCCCGCUCCACGACCCCCGCGCCGCGCCCUCGAGCUAGCUCCCCGCAGCUUGCCAGCGACCUCCGCCUCUCGCCACGCGCCUCGCCGCCAUCGCUGCGCGGCGACAUCAUCGCGCCCCCCGCUCGCAGCCUCGGCCGGCCAGCCAUCCACCCAUCGGUGAGCUUCCUGUAGUCCGGCGAUUGGACGAGCUCAGCCGGCCUCAACGAAUUCUGGCUGCGCUGACGCAACGCGCGCGCUGCGCCACGUCUUGAUCCGCCCCUGCUUCGAGCUCGGAGCUCGUAUUUCGUCCCGGCGGAUUCUAGGGUUCCAUGCUCGCGCAUCGGCGCGGCGAUUCGAAUUGGUGCUGCCGGAACCCCUGCGGUGUUUCUGACCGGCUUCGGAAUCUGGCAGGUGCUGGAAAGGCGAUGCGCACCCUCGUGUUCUUGCUACUCGUUAGGUGCAUUGGUGGCCGGCUGCCCUUUUCAGAUUUCAUGUUCGUCGCACACCUGUCAUGUUAAUCGAUAACCCGAGGAAGCUCUUCUUGUAGCGUAAAUAAGGUAUAGGUUUAUCAUUUCAAAUGUCGUCAAGACAAGCUUCAACUUAUUAUCCCACAAACUUGUGAACACCAGAUGAUUUAACAGAAACAGAGGAUUACUUCGAGGGAAUAGAAGAAAUACUGGUCAAAAGACAAAGAUUCCAUUAACCACAGGUCCAGAGAGGCCUCAGGCGCUGCUCCCCACUCUCAGCUCUCAGUAUUUACAUUUCACUACAUUAUGUACAGUCACCCAACAGUUGCUAGGCGCCCAAUUUUGCCCGCACCACCAACAGACGAUCCUA